GAUGAACGCUGGCGGCGUGCCUAAUACAUGCAAGUCGAGCGAACAGACGAGGAGCUUGCUCCUCUGACGUUAGCGGCGGACGGGUGAGUAACACGUGGAUAACCUACCUAUAAGACUGGGAUAACUUCGGGAAACCGGAGCUAAUACCGGAUAAUAUAUUGAACCGCAUGGUUCAAUAGUGAAAGACGGUUUUGCUGUCACUUAUAGAUGGAUCCGCGCCGCAUUAGCUAGUUGGUAAGGUAACGGCUUACCAAGGCAACGAUGCGUAGCCGACCUGAGAGGGUGAUCGGCCACACUGGAACUGAGACACGGUCCAGACUCCUACGGGAGGCAGCAGUAGGGAAUCUUCCGCAAUGGGCGAAAGCUUGACGGAGCAACGCCGCGUGAGUGAUGAAGGUCUUCGGAUCGUAAAACUCUGUUAUUAGGGAAGAACAUAUGUGUAAGUAACUGUGCACAUCUUGACGGUACCUAAUCAGAAAGCCACUGCUAACUACGUG
rnacentral:rRNA from 1 species